AUUGAACGCUGGCGGCAGGCCUAACACAUGCAAGUCGAGCGAGCGGCGGACGGGUGAGUCAUGUAUGGGGACUGCCCGAUAGAGGGGGGUAACUACUGGAAAGGGCAGUUAAUACCGCAUACUAUCGGAUAACCCAUAUGGGAUUAGCUCGUAGGUGAGGUAAUGGCUCACCUAGGCGACGAGCCCUAGCUGGGCUGAGAGGAUGAUCAGCCACAAUGUGACGACGAAACGGCCCAGACUCCUACGGAGGUAGCAGUGGGGAAUAUUGCACAAGGGGCGCAAGCCUGAUGCAGCCAUGCCGCGUGUAUGAAGAAGGCCCUAGGGUUGUAAAGUACUUUCAGUCGGGAGGCGUUACCGACAGAAGAAGCACCGGCUAACUCCGUGCCAGCAGCCGCGGUAAUAC
rnacentral:rRNA from 1 species